rnacentral:rRNA from 1 species
CUGGCGGCGUGCUUAACACAUGCAAGUCGAACGGGGUCAAAGUGAUAGCUUGCUAUUAUGGAGCCUAGUGGCAAACGGGGUGAGUAACGCCGUAGGCAACCUGCCCUUCAGAUGGGGACAACACCUCGAAAGGGGUGCUAAUACCGAAUGACGUUGCGCUGUCGCAUGACGGUGCAACCAAAGGCCGGGCAACCGGUCACUGAAGGAUGGGCCUGCGUCUGAUUAGCUAGUUGGUGGGUAACGGCCCACCAAGGCGACGAUCAGUAGCCGGUCUGAGAGGAUGAACGGCCACAUUGGGACUGAGACACGGCCCAGACUCCUACGGGAGGCAGCAGUGGGGAAUCUUCCGCAAUGGACGAAAGUCUGACGGAGCAACGCCGCGUGAACGAUGACGGCCUUCGGGUUGUAAAGUUCUGUUAUACGGGACGAAUGGCGUAGCGGUCAAUACCCGUUACGAGUGACGGUACCGUAAGAGAAAGCCACGGCUAACUACGUG